rnacentral:rRNA from 1 species
AGAGUUUGAUCAUGGCUCAGGACGAACGCUGGCGGCGUGCCUAAUACAUGCAAGUCGAGCGGACAGAUGGGAGCUUGCUCCCUGAUGUUAGCGGCGGACGGGUGAGUAACACGUGGGUAACCUGCCUGUAAGACUGGGAUAACUCCGGGAGACCGGGGCUAAUACCGGAUGGUUGUUUGAACCGCAUGGUUCAAACAUAAAAGGUGGCUUCGGCUACCACUUACAGAUGGACCCGCGGCGCAUUAGCUAGUUGGUGAGGUAACGGCUCACCUAGGCAACGAUGCGUAGCCGACCUGAGAGGGUGAUCGGCCACACUGGGACUGAGACACGGCCCAGACUCCUACGGGAGGCAGCAGUAGGGAAUCUUCCGCAAUGGACGAAAGUCUGACGGAGCAACGCCGCGUGAGUGAUGAAGGUUUUCGGAUCGUAAAGCUCUGUUGUUGGGGAAGAACAAGUACCGUUCGAAUAGGGCGGUACCUUGACGGUACCUAACCAGAAAGCCACGGCUAACUACGUGCCAGCAGCCGCGGUAAUACGUAGGUGGCAAGCGUUGUCCGGAAUUAUUGGGCGUAAGGGGCUCGCAGGCGGUUUCUUAAGUCUGAUGUGAAAGCCCCCGGCUCAACCGGGGAGGGUCAUUGGAAACUGGGGAACUUGAGUGCAGAAGAGGAGAGUGGAAUUCCACGUGUAGCGGUGAAAUGCGUAGAGACGUGGAGGAACACCAGUGGCGAAGGCGACUCUCUGGUCUGUAACUGACGCUG